GAUCCUGGCUCAGGACGAACGCUGGCGGCGUGCCUAAUACAUGCAAGUAGAACGCUGAAGGAAGGAGCUUGCUCUUUCCGGAUGAGUUGCGAACGGGUGAGUAACGCGUAGGUAACCUGCCUGGUAGCGGGGGAUAACUAUUGGAAACGAUAGCUAAUACCGCAUAACAGUAUAUAUCGCAUGAUAUUUGCUUGAAAGGUGCAAUUGCACCACUACCAGAUGGACCUGCGUUG
rnacentral:rRNA from 1 species